GGACCCGCACAAGCGGUGGAGCAUGUGGUUCAAUUCGAUGCAACGCGAAGAACCUUACCUGGCCUUGACAUCCUCGGAACUUGGCAGAGAUGCCUUGGUGCCUUCGGGAACCGAGAGACAGGUGCUGCAUGGCUGUCGUCAGCUCGUGUCGUGAGAUGUUGGGUUAAGUCCCGCAACGAGCGCAACCCUUGUCCUUAGUUGCCAGCACUUCGGGUGGGCACUCUAAGGAGACCGCCGGUGACAAACCGGAGGAAGGUGGGGAUGACGUCAAGUCAUCAUGGCCUUUAUGGCCAGGGCUACACACGUGCUACAAUGGCUGGUACAGAGGGCUGCCAACCCGCGAGGGGGAGCCAAUCCCACAAAGCCAGUCGUAGUCCGGAUCGGAGUCUGCAACUCGACUCCGUGAAGUCGGAAUCGCUAGUAAUCGCGAAUCAGCAUUGUCGCGGUGAAUACGUUCCCGGGUCUU
rnacentral:rRNA from 1 species